AUUCUACGGGAGGCAGCAGUGGGGAAUUUUGGACAAUGGGGGCAACCCUGAUCCAGCCAUGCCGCGUGAGUGAAGAAGGCCUUCGGGUUGUAAAGCUCUUUUGGUCGGGAAGAAAGCGCCUUGCCUAAUACGCGAGGUGGUUGACGGUACCGGCAGAAUAAGCACCGGCUAACUACGUGCCAGCAGCCGCGGUAAUACGUAGGGUGCGAGCGUUAAUCGGAACUACUGGGCGUAAAGCGUGCGCAGGCGGUUCGUUAAGUCUGAUGUGAAAGCCCCGGGCUCAACCUGGGAAUGGCAUUGGAAACUGGCGGGCUGGAGUGUGGCAGAGGGGGGUGGAAUUCCACGUGUAGCAGUGAAAUGCGUAGAGAUGUGGAGGAACACCGAUGGCGAAGGCAGCCCCCUGGGCCAACACUGACGCUCAGGCACGAAAGCGUGGGGAGCAAACAGGAUUAGAUGCCCUGGUAGUCCACGCCCUAAACGAUGAUCACUGGGUGUUGGGGAAGCGAUUCCUUGGUACCGUAGCUAACGCGUGAAGUGAUCCGCCUGGGGAGUACGGUCGCAAGAUUAAAACUCAAAGGAAUUGACGGAAU
rnacentral:rRNA from 1 species